GUGGGGCUUUCUUCAGUGAUUACCACGUCCUAGGUUCUUCACACUCUGGGAGCAUUAGAUAAGAUUGCUUUGGAUUCAGUGAAUGGUUUUGCACAGGAGUUUGGUGAGAAUAAAUGUUGCUGGCUGGGAAAAAAAGAAUUGAAAGAAAGCAGAAUUGAAAGCCUGGAUCUGUCAAAAGCUACUUACUCUUCAGGGAAAAGAUGGAGUCACAUCCAGGAGGUUGUAUUCUGAGCCAUUCUUUUUAGUUGGAAAAACCAAUUCAGAGUUAAUUGAAGUACUUAAAGAAUGUUAGGGGGGGUGUGUGUGUUGUGUGUGUGUGUGUGGUGUGUGUUUUGUCC
rnacentral:lncRNA from 1 species